CAUGUAACAACGUUUAUAAUCAUUCUUACACGUGUAGUUACACCGGUAUAACCAGGCAGACAGGGCUCUGCAGCUGUGAAAACAACGGCAAUUUUUUAAAACAGGAGGAGGAUGUGGAUUUAGUCUCGGCGAUCGUUGUUCCAAGCACCGCAGGUGGACACAGCUUAGGGAAGGGAAACAAAGCGGACCUGCUGCGUUCAGGGGAGCGACACUCACCGCGCGGCUGUUGUUAACCCGCGCACAGCUGGCGAUUUGCUCUGAUAUAGUCAGGCGCGAUGUGUUGCGGGAAACCAGCCAGAUGUGCGUCGUUUAACGUAGACCGCGCGGCUGCUGCAGGGUUGCCAACUUCGUUCAGCUGGCUGGAGUGAGAUGUUCAAUUCGAGAGAAGUCUGCACACCCGUGCACAUACAUGCAUGUAACCGUUUUAUCACCUUAUAAAUAGUCUGUAGGGUUUGCAAACUACCCCAGCGCUUUUGAUGCAGCUAAGUUUAGGUCUAUAAUAGAAUACUAUAAAUUUAUCGCGUGAGAGUCUGAAAUCGUGCGUCAAGCCAGAUGUGUGAGUGUUGGCGACCCUGCUGCUGUCAUUCUUUGCACGACUCUUGGCUCUAUUACAGUCGAUCCAAGUGACAUCUCAGGCGCUGGGUUUUGUGGGAAAUCAAGGUGUGCAUCUCGUCACACAUGGGACUGCAUAGUGGGUCCUCACAAAGCUGAAGUGUUUUUGGAGACCCACUGUACUAGUGUAAGCUAGUAUGUCUUCUAAAUAUAUGCUGAGACUAAACAUGCAAUAAUUACCCAGACGAUAUUCAAGCACCAAGUGCAUUCAGCUAUGUCCUGCUCUUUCAAACAGGCCUAUUUUACCGAAUUAUAUGUCAUACUGUUUUUUUUAUUAUUACCGGCAGUGAUAAAUGUCAGAAAAUUAAUUCAUUGUAACGCUGUGUCUUUUAGUCUUUUUCACAAAUCUCAUUCUUUUUGCUUUACACAGAAUUUCCCAGCAUAAACUGAGCUUUUACAAAAUCUGUGAGAUGCUAUGAGUACUGUGCUCCAGUGACAUAUCAGUGGCUUGGUUUUGUGGUUGGGUUGACGUGACCCUCUUUUCCAAGUUCACCAAGGUUACAAACUGUACGUGGCAUUGAGUGAAAGUUAAGGGAGACGGAAAUUUGGAGGACGGUAAUUUGGAGCUAAGGUGAAAGAGUAUCAGACAUGAAUAUUACAGUUGUGAGGGGGGGGGUAUUUACUGUCCAGGUAUGUCCAGGAAUAUACUUGAAUACAAGUUCUCCUUAUGACACAUCUUUUUUUUAUAUCUGCCAAUGUUUUGGAAGGCAGACAUAGUUCUGUGUUUUUCACAGUGAAAGACUGCAAGAGAGAUUUCCUCCUGAAAUCCCCCCUGAUCAGUCCUCGACGUGCAUUAUGCAAGUGUUUCACCACACCACUGAGGAAACAUAUUAUUAGGCUUUUUAACAAAUCCAAAUGAAUAUAUCUUAAGUAUGCAUUUAACUAGAUCUUGUAUUUUGGUAGGUAAAUAUGAAAUAUAAAUGAACGUGUGAAUGAAUCAGACCACCCAAAACGCUAACCGACCUUAGAAAGACAAUUGUUUAAAUAUACGAAUUCCCAACAUUAUAGACUUCUACCAAUGAGUGAAAGCAGUGGUUAAAGCAAAGAUAUUGGUUUUUCCACCCAAAAAUGUGUGUCGAUAGGUUAAGAUGCUCUAUUGCUAUAAUACAAAAAAAAUCAAGACAUUCUUGUGGAAAUCUGUAUCAUUUUUGACAUGCAUAAAUGUUCUCAGGUACCUGGAAAAAUACACCCUGGACAGGAGGCCAGUCCAUUGCAUUACAGAAUUGCAGACAUGCAAUCUUAAUAUUGACAAUGCACGUAAUGCGCAUGAAAUUGCGACAUUGCAAGGACUGCAGUAGUCGGCUGGGUUGACAUUAGACUUGGGCGGUAUGUUAGUUGUCCACACGGUAUUUUGCUGGUAUUUUAAAACUAAAGCUAUUUGGGCAUUUAGAAAUUUUGGCGAUGGGGGAGGGGGGACUAUAAAAUUUUGAACACAACUCAUUUUUUUAGUUUUUAAUUUUGAAGAUGUCUUAUUUUUUCGUUUUUCGUUCAUUCAUUUAACAAUAUGAAAAACUGAAGCUUGGCAAUGAUUUAAAACAUUUUCUGGUUUGAACGGAACAAUGCAACACAUUUAACUUGAUAUUUACAAAAAGGUAGCGAUAAUUCGGUUUGCAAGUUUUCUACAAUGUGGUACAUUCAUAGUACAUGCAAAGUAUUAUUUUGUACAAAUAUUAGCAGCUGUAACAGGACCACAGCUAAGGGCAACUUCUUUAAGUCAGUUGUGCAGUUAAAAUAAAUGUAAUAUUGCCCCCAUAUGAUUGCUGAGUUGCCACUAAUUGCAAAUAAUGAGUCAUUAUUAAUUAAGAAUAUCUACCAGAAUAUCCAAGACAUGAUUGUGCACUGUGCACUGUUUGGUCUAGGACGUCUUUAUCUCUUAUUUGACCUUCUGAGGGAGCAUGCUAACGUGCUCACUCCUCCUUGCACGUUAAGUGCAACCUCUGCACUACUUUUAAAAAGGUGCAGUAUUGCUGCGGUUGUGAAUGUGCAAAUAAUGACACAUUUUUUUUCUCACAUCUCCUCCCAGGCCCCCACGAACAUGGAAAAAAGUCAUUCCCAUGCAUGGCAAGGAGACUGAAACCGUUUCAAUGCGUUGCUGUUGCACUUGUGGGCGUAGCAGGCCAAGAAGGUGGCUGACAGGACAGCAACAGGAUGGAGCAGAUUAUAAUAUCUGAGCAGACUUGCAGUAGUGAUCUGGAGACCUUUAUGUGUUCAGUCUGGGCUGUUAUCACAAGGACAGCGGUAGUAUAAAUAUGAGAAAUAACAGCUGUUUCCUGAAAAAAAAAAUUGCCACAUUUGUACUUGCUUGAAUUACAAAGGCAGGUGUGUUCCGAUUUGUGAUCAUCGCUCCUCAUGUUUUUUGC